GAGAGAUGCUUGCAGCAACAAAGACUGCUAAUCUUUGCCCCCUUGGUUGGACUCCGAGGCUCACUCG
rnacentral:tRNA from 1 species